rnacentral:rRNA from 1 species
CAGCGCCUCAAGUGGUCAGGAUGAUUAUUGGGCCUAAAGCAUCCGUAGCCGGCUCUGUAAGUUUUCGGUUAAAUCUGUAUGCUCAACAUACAGGCUGCCGGGAAUACUGCAGAGCUAGGGAGUGGGAGAGGUAGACGGUACUCGGUAGGAAGGGGUAAAAUCCUUUGAUCUAUUGAUGACCACCUGUGGCGAAGGCGGUCUACCAGAACACGUCCGACGGUGAGGGAUGAAAGCUGGGGGAGCAAACCGGAUUAGAUACCCGAGUAGUCC